rnacentral:tRNA from 1 species
GCGGGCGUAGCUCAAUGGCAGAGCCUCAGCCUUCCAAGCUGAUUAUGAGGGUUCGAUUCCCUCCGUCCGCUCCA